rnacentral:misc_RNA from 1 species
GUAGGUGAACCUGCGGAAGGAUCAUUGACACGUAUCCAACGUUAAACCCCCCUGUGAACUUUCAACUGCUCUUGUGGCUUGUUGGGUUAAGUAGCAAUCUCGGUAAAUCAAGUGGGAGAAAAGUUCUGAUUCGAGACCUCUGCACUAUAUAUGGGCGAUGAUAGAAGCAGUGGCGUCCCAAGCCUCCAGUGAAUGACAGCGUCAACGCUUAUUCGGUUGCUAGAGGUCGACCGAGCAGCAGACAUGUCACAGGGCACUGCGCCCCUUAACCACCUCCGAGGCAUUAAAACCGAACAACUGCUAACCAUGGAUAUCUUGGUUCUC